rnacentral:lncRNA from 1 species
GCGUCUGGCAUUCGGCCCAUUCCCGUGUUGCUUGGAUGUGUAGGUGCACACGACCGUGUCGCAUGGCCGUGUGUUGCUUCGUUCGCUUCUCCCACGUCCGUGUUAAUUUGACUGGUUCGCCCACGGAUGCUGGGCACAGGCGUGUCAUAUGCCCGUGUAACAUUCUCAGUUUUAACCACGGUUUCAAGGUACGGGCGUGUCUCAUGCCCGUGUUGUUUUGGCAGUUUUGCCCAUGGUCAUGUCGCACGGUCGUGGCGAC